rnacentral:rRNA from 1 species
AUUGAACGCUGGCGGCAUGCCUUACACAUGCAAGUCGAACGGCAGCAUGAUCUAGCUUGCUAGAUUGAUGGCGAGUGGCGAACGGGUGAGUAAUACAUCGGAACGUGCCCUGUAGUGGGGGAUAACUAGUCGAAAGAUUAGCUAAUACCGCAUACGACCUGAGGGUGAAAGUGGGGGACCGCAAGGCCUCAUGCUAUAGGAGCGGCCGAUGUCUGAUUAGCUAGUUGGUGAGGUAAAGGCUCACCAAGGCGACGAUCAGUAGCUGGUCUGAGAGGACGAUCAGCCACACUGGGACUGAGACACGGCCCAGACGCCUACGGGAGGCAGCAGUGGGGAGUUUUGGACAAUGGGGGCAACCCUGAUCCAGCAAUGCCGCGUGUGUGAAGGAGGCCUUCGGGUUGUAAAGCACUUUUGUCCGGAAAGAAAUCGCACUUACUAAUAUUAGGUGUGGAUGACGGUACCGGAAGAAUAAGGACCGGCUAACUACGUGCCUGCCGCCGCAGUAAUAC